GACUAAGCCACGAUUAACUUCACUGAGAGGGGCCUGCAGAGCCUGCUGGAUCCUUGUUCAAGAACAGCAGCCUGGGCCUCUUCUACUCGAGUUGCAGACUGCUCUCCCUCAGGCCUGAGAAGGAUGGGGCAGCCACCAGUGUGGACGCUGUCUGUACCCACCACGCUGACCCCGUGGGCCACCAUGCCUCUGUGCUGGGAGCCGAGAAUCUCCACCUGUCUGCUCUUCCUCUCGGUGGCUUCAAGCUCUGCAGCCCAGAGUUUAUCCAUCCAGAGAGAGUA